CAGAGAAAUAAGCUGAUAUGUCACCAUUGUAUCUGAUUUGACUCUUUUGAGACUCAUGCUGUUGGUUCAAAAUAGUAACUUGGAAGGCAUCCGAUCCAAGAUAGUAUCCUACACACGGCAUCGCGUACUCACUGUGCCAGAUGUUUUGGUAGUAGAUUCUAGUAGCAGUAGUUUUUGGUAGUAGAUUCUAUAUUUAUAGUAAAUUUACAAUAAAGGUCAUUCAUGCAAGAGAUACCAAACAUUGUAUUGACCGGGUUUCUUAAUGUGUUAGUUUGAUUUUUACAUGAAUUGUUUCAGACACGGAAAAAAAAGUUUGACCUAUUUUUAGUGAAAGUAGACGUGUUAUCAUUGCAGUUCAUGCGCGCACAUAUUUCUUUUCGAUCAUUUACUUUUUGUAUAGAAAUAUGCUUCAGUGAAGUUCAGAUAUUGGAAUAAUUAGAUUCUUCAACAGAUUGGAUUAUUAUAAUCAUACGGGUAUUACAGGCAAAGUUUGGAUUAUUUAUUACGCAAAGGCCUAUAUAAAGCAAUAUAUAUAUUGUUGUCAACCUGGUGGUGACAUAGAUGGAGGUAGUGCUGUGUAUUUUUAGCCUACCCAAAUCGCCACUGUCCAGCGCAGGAAGAGCGGUCAACUGUGACCAGUGACAGUACUCGCCAGUUCGUCAACGACCUGUGUGUAAAUAUUACGCACGCAAGUCACGGCGAAAGUGAUCAACUGGAGUGGUCAAGAAGGUUCGAGUAGGCCAGUAGAGACACUAUAUAAGAGCGACUGUGUUAGUAAGACUUGACUUCACGUUACCUCGCAAUGUGACCAGUACGAGGCGAGAACCAGCAUAGUGUGUAAAGUCAGGCGUAACAAGACUAGGUUUUUGUAAAGACAGUGUUAAUGUUGUUGCCAAUUGCGAUGUAUUUGACAUUAAACUGACUGAUACUUUGGA